UCUCAGGGCGGCGCCUUCAUGUCGGAGAGGAAGAGUGAGGACCAGAACAGCCCCUGUCACCGUGACAACAGAGAGCUCAUGGGAACAGGCCGGGCCAGAAGGCCUCCAGAGACUGGAAAACUGGCAUGGAGACGGUUCCUUUGUGCAUCUGGACCCACAGGAUGUAGGCGCGGUUGUGUGGUGCCUUGCUCAGAGGCACGCUGAGCGAGAUGAGAGGGCUGUGAGCGUUACCCAGGAACAUGCUGAGCAGCUCCU